CCAAUGAGGUUGAGAUCAGCUGCUUUAUCUGUCCUAGGCGUCACAUUUACUGGGGGGGGAACUUUGGAUUAAUGU